GAUUAUUGAGCUAUGUAUACAUUAAGGCCACCUUCUCAUGGUAGAGAUUUCCUGCAUGAGAAAAAUCAGUGAUCUUGUUUUCAUUCAGAAGAAAACAAUGGCAGAAAUCUGCCGUGUUCAAUUACAUUGAAGAGCUCCUGAGGGAUGGUUGAAAGACAUCAUUGACAACUCAUUCUCUGCUGGUUUUGACCAUCUUCUGGGUGGUUCACUAUUAAAGAAACGAAGCUGAGAAAGGUUAUGUCUUAUCUGAUGCCAAUUGCGUUUGCUGACAGAGAGAACAGAAGCCUACCAGUGACCCAGCGUGCCCAUGGAAACCUCACAGAUGGAAAAGGAGAAAAGGUGGAAGCAGCUGGUGCACUGGGACUCUGUUACUGCUGCCUACACAUUUCUCCUCGUACCUGCUUCUGGGCAUUGGCUCUAGUGCGUCUAAAGGGAACCAUGUUGCAAAAUGAUACUCAAGCAUUGUACAAUAUUUUAAUACCUUUUUAAAAGGAAACAAUUUCCUCUGCUCUCCUGUCACUGACCUCUCCACCCCCAUAUUCAUCUUCCUCCCUUCACUUGAUGCUCAGGACAUUUUUGUGUUUUCCUCAGGGACAAAAGCAAAAAAAGAAACUUGGUGCUUUUAACAAGGCUUUGAUACUGCUGGGAAUGCCCAUUUCUCACACUGCCCCUUUCAAUAGCAUUUCAAGGACUCGGUUGUAAAGACCGAUAUCUGUAUUUCGAGCAAAAACAACAAGGUAAAACAAGAAGCUAAGUUAUCUUUUAUAUGUCACAAUGUUUUUAAAAUGACCCAUCACCAGUGACCAUGUCCCCUCUCUAAGGCAAAGCUAGAGACUCAUUUUCUAAUACAGACUAUGACAAAUGACCUCUGUGACUUCAGUGUUUGGCAUUGCCACAUUCUGCAAGUCACAUAACAUGAAAAAAAAAUCUGACCCAGCAAUAGAAGAUUAGUCUAUUUAUUAGAUAAAUUUUAUUUGUAAGAAAUAAGUGAAAAAUGAAAAAAAUGGAUUUAAUGUGGCAGAAUUAUGGUGUGUCUUAGAUUCAUGUAUUGCUCAAUAAUGACUUUGGUCAUCCUUUUAUAUUCGUCAACCUCCUCCUCUCUUCUGCAUCUUGGAUAUGAAGCCCAUGUGUGUUUGUCCAUUUUUCAUGAUAUUCCUUUAAAAAGGAAUCUUUUAUGUGGGACACUGAUCUCAUCCGACUUCAUCAAAAACUCAAUGGCCAACAUUAAAAUUCUUUAAAAAAUUCUUAAAAUUAAAAUAGAAAAGUGUUAUUAUUGUUCUGAAUUAAAUUCAUUAAAAAUGCAAAUGUGCCCUUCCAAGUCAUUUUUCCGAAGAAUUCUUACAAUUCUUACAAUUUAAACUUAGCCAAGCAAUUUAAAACUAUGUGGGUUUUAUUAGCAGUCUGUGAGCUAAAUGCCAUAGGAAAAAUAAUCCAAAGAAAUGACACUGUAGUGACACCAUCCCUUGACAAAGCAGUGAUCCUCACAAUG
rnacentral:lncRNA from 1 species